AAACAGUUGAAAAGAUCGCACUGUACAGUAUUUCUCCUUAUUUUGAUGUAGAGUAUUUGUUUUUAUCUUAGGUCUCACUAAAUCUCCACUUGAGAACUGGAUAACAACGACUGGAUUUGAAGAUGAACCUAAACAGGAACCAAAUCAAACAAAUAGAAUGGAUAGGGGGACUUUUAUAGGGGGAAAAAACAGUGUAUUAAAUGUUACAUUGUCAUACAGUAGAAGAUAUCCUAACAGAAAACGAAUGAGCUCUAGAGGCAGGUCCUGUUUUGUCAUUCCACUGUCUGGUUGUUGCAAGAGGAAACAGUGAAGUAAAAUAAAACUCUGGUGAAUGCCAGAUUAAAAACUCAAGCAGGAAAAGUACAGUAGCAACUGCCUUCAUGUUUCAAGAGGAAACACAGCCAGUCAACUGAGGUAAUAUAAUUCUCUGGUAAAUGCCAGAUUUAAACAAAAAACAGGUGAGUAAUAUUUUAAAGCACCUCUAUUCUCUUUUGUACAACCUAUAGUUUUAUUUGCUACUGUUUAUCUUUAUUUUCUCUUCUCAAAACAAACACGGGUGAGUAAUAUUUUGCAAAGGGUUUUUUUCUGUCUGUUGUUGAACCUGUAGUUUGAAUUGUACUGUGUAUCUUAUUUGCAUUCAGUACAAUAGUGAAGUUCACUGCCUGGAGGUUACAAGAGGAAAUACAACCUUUCAGUCAAGGUAACAUAAACUCUGGUGAAUGCUAGAUUAAAAACACAAUAAAAAUAAAGGAUAUUGAUAUUUUUUGUUGAAGUUGAAGUUCCAGAUCUGCUGGAAGUUUUUUUUUUUGUUUUGUUGUUGUUUGUUUUUUUUUGUUUGUUGUUGUUUGUUUUGUUUUUUUUCAUUUACGUGAUGUUCACUGCUUGGAUGUUGCAAGAGGAAUCAUCUUCUGGGGAAAAAAACAAACAAACAGAUGUAAAAUAUAAAUGUGGUAUGUGACAGAUUAAACACAAAAAAGGGGAAAACAAUCACAGGAAUGGCAACUGCUAGGAUGCUGCAAGAGAAGAUGUCGCCUGUCAAGUGAAGUAAAAUAAACUCUGGUGAAUUCCAGAUUAGAAAUAAAACAGCACAGGGAUGGCAUCAGAAUGUAGUUUUGAAGUGUGAGGAGCCAUCACAUUACCCUAACCAUUCAUUUUACUGUCCACCAGCGAACCUCCUCUUUUAAAAUGCUUUUACUUUCCAAAAUGUUUGAUUAUAACAGGAAUGAUCUGGAGUGAUCUGGGUCAUGCUGGACGCAUUUCUUGUCAGAUCUGUGAGAAGACAGAAGACUGUUUUUGUUUUGUUUUUUUGCGCACACUGGUUCAUUUGACAUCUGAAGUUGGUUCAUUUGAAUGAUGUUGAUGCUGUUUUCUGAGCUCAGGUGCGCAUAUGCAAACUGUUUCUGAAAUAUUUCAGAUCUACCCCUAUUUCAAUUGAAUCGAGUUCAAUGGGAUUGACUGACGAGUUUAUGAAGGUUUUUCAGACUGAAUGAAUCAUCAUUCUGAUUAAUAAUUAGAUUAUUAGGUUGAAUUUAAAUGUAUACAGUGACAAGCCAAAUGCAUGAACCUGAAAUUGAAAUGCCUUAUCUUUAAAAGAAUUUUCAGUGACAGUGUCUGUCUUUCAGAUUCUGUUUACAAACCUCUUUUCAAGAAAUUACACUGUUUAUACAUGUAGGCUACAGUAAAAAUUAUUGGCAGUGCAUUAAGAAAAAAAAACAGAAUUUUUGAAAUCACAUUUGCUUGUCACCUUAUUUCUAAACAUGGUGUUAUGUUUUUGACCAUACAGUUCCAUUUUUAGGUGACCCUUCUUUCCCAAUCUGUACUAAACAUGCCUGUAAAACUGUGCUGAAGCUUUUAGCUGGUAUGUUGGUAUGGUUUUAAUAUUAAAGUCAUGAUUUAAGC
ensembl:lncRNA